GAAGACAUACGCCCUCUACCUGAACCAUGUGGCGGAAACCCCCAAACAUUCAAUAGUAUGUCUCAUCUGUUUCCUUGAGAAGGGCAAGAUGAAGCAGAUACGCAAAUCAUCUGUCGAAGACCACUGCAGAAGUCUUCAUAAUACCCCUGGUAUCAAGUGCGAGAAGACUGGCUGCAUGGUCAGAGCCAAGUACAGGGGAGAUAUUGGCAAACAUAAGAAGUAUUGUCACGAUCUAAAAACCGGAUGGUGGAAGAAGCUCCGAAGACAUGAUGGAGCUUAGUGUGAUGCAAUCCAAGAAAACAAAGGUGGAGCCAUGUGUUCUGAAAGACCCCGACCGGACGUCCGACACAACCUGAUCAGAGCCGAAACGUCGGACUUCCGACAAGUACCGUACGUCCGAGCCCCCUCGAGAAUAUGAGGAAUUGUUUUUAGUGGUUUACUGCUCAUAAUGUGUAUAUAAACAGGGUUGUGAAGUUCAGUUUGUUCAUGUCGAAAACGUGAGUUUGCUACAUGGACAUAAACCUUUGCUGAUUUGUCAGCAUGUGAGUUUUAACCUCCUGCGUGAAAAGUUUUAGUGCAAUUUUUAGCUGGACAUUGUUCAAGCUUCGAGUGGCUAAUUUGACUUGUUCUGGACAGACGUUUUGUCUGCAUGAUGUUA